UACGUGUGGGGCAAGCGUUGUUCGGAAUUACUGGGCAUAAAGGGUGCGUAGGCGGCUUGUUAAGUCAGGGGUGAAAUCCCACGGCCCAACCGUGGAACUGCCUUUGAUACUGGCGAGCUUGAGUGCGUGAGGGGUAACCGGAACGAGUAGUGUAGCGGUGAAAUGCGUAGAUAUUACUCGGAAGGCCAAAGGCGAAGGCAGGUUACUGGUACGCAACUGACGCUGAUGCACGAAAGCGUGGGGAGCAAACAGG
rnacentral:rRNA from 1 species